rnacentral:rRNA from 1 species
GCAGCACAGUAAGAGCUUGCUCUUACGGGUGGCGAGUGGCGGACGGGUGAGGAAUGCAUCGGAAUCUACUCUGUCGUGGGGGAUAACGUAGGGAAACUUACGCUAAUACCGCAUACGACCUACGGGUGAAAGCAGGGGAUCUUCGGACCUUGCGCGAUUGAAUGAGCCGAUGCCCGAUUAGCUAGUUGGCGGGGUAAGAGCCCACCAAGGCGACGAUCGGUAGCUGGUCUGAGAGGAUGAUCAGCCACACUGGAACUGAGACACGGUCCAGACUCCUACGGGAGGCAGCAGUGGGGAAUAUUGGACAAUGGGCGCAAGCCUGAUCCAGCCAUACCGCGUGGGUGAAGAAGGCCUUCGGGUUGUAAAGCCCUUUUGUUGGGAAAGAAAAGCAGCCGGUUAAUACCCGGUUGUUCUGACGGUACCCAAAGAAUAAGCACCGGCUAACUUCGUGCCAGCAGCCGCGGUAAUACGAAGGGUGCAAGCGUUACUCGGAAUUACUGGGCGUAAAGCGUGCGUAGGUGGUUGUUUAAGUCUGUCGUGAAAGCCCUGGGCUCAACCUGGGAAUGGCGAUGGAAACUGGGCGA